rnacentral:snoRNA from 1 species
CCAAAUGAUGAAAAACCUAACAACAACAACUUGAAUUUCUUCAACCGAAAACCAUAGGAGGAAACAAACUUUGACAGCUUUUUAACACUGAUA